GGGAACAGUGCGUCGGGUUUCAGUAGUGAUACCCGGUCGACCGCUGAGGCCAACUGUUCUCGCCAAGUUAUCCGAGUAUCAUUAUAUGAAUACCAGCCCCCUCCUCCUCUGCCACUUGCUCCCCCCCCCUCCCUCUCUGCCGCCACCACAUCAAAACCUUUACAAGCACACACCUAAGAAGCAUUCGACGACGGCCACUGUGCAGCCAGUAAUGACAUCUCAUGCUGACCUUUGUUACUUUAUGGGGAUCAAGUGGCCAAACCGCGGGCCGGGACAGCUGCUCGGAUCUUUCAUGGAAGUCAACAAGUGGUGAUAGAGAGGCAGCGUCCAAGCAUGAGUGUGUGUUGAAGUAUCACAGCGCCCACAUAUGCAGUCAGUGUGUUCGCUUUUAGUUACUGCAUCGGCAACACACUCGGCAAUCGAGAAUUCUUGACAAAUCUUCCAACCAGAACAGUUUUGGUACUUUCCAGGGGCAAGUACAUUUCAACAUUGCGUCUACAAGACCAGCUCCUUUGGGGUCCUUCGUUUGAAAUGUGGAAAUAUCUAAGCCCAUCGAUGACCUCACCACAUUCCACCGAUCUCUGGGGUAAUGUUUUGGAACCAAGGCCCGCACCCUCCACGCACCAAGUAUCAAGAGAACUGUUUCUUCUGAUUCAGCCCGACCCGAUUGAGGGCGAGCAAUUACUCUCGAUGGGAGUUCACCGGGAGGACCGACUUGACUGGCGAUCGUAGGAUUAAUCAAGCCCACGUCACCCCCAAUAGCGCAGCUCCACAUCAAGAAACUGCAGUGAGUCAGUGAAGUGAUGCGCCGUGCAGCCCAGACAUGAAACAUCUAAACAACUGUAGGAGGGAGCAUCAAGAAAUUUGGCACAGACGUCGGCGGUGCCCCAAUGAUUAAUCCUAAUGACUCCGGGCUUGACCUCUGGCUUUGCCUCUCGGAGCGCCAGCAGGUGACAUACCCUGACAAUGAACAUCUGCUUGGAUGGACAGGCCGACAUCUUUUCUAUGAAUCCCAGAUGAUGUUUCAGAAGGCUUGGAUGAGAGCUCAGAGUUUUCUGUUUUGGGGUCAUUUUUAAGAAAUUAAAACUGGAUGGGAAGAUUUUGAUAUUUGUUGAAUUUUUUUUUAUGAAUUACAUAAAUGAAUUAAAACGCAGUAACAACACAAGCAUGACACCAGAACCAUCUUAAACAUGAUGGUGAUGUCAUUGUUGGCAUUUUAUCCAAAGCACGCAGCUGCACAGUGGAGAGAAUAAAAACAAACUCUGAUCCAA